rnacentral:tRNA from 1 species
GCACGAGUGGCGGAACUGGCAGACGCACCGGAUUUAGGUUCCGGCGCCGAAAGGCGUGUGGGUUCGACUCCCUCCUCGUGCACCG